UUGCACGCUGGCGGCAGGCCUCACACAUGCAAGUCGAGCGGAUGAAGGGAGCUUGCUCCUGGAUUCAGCGGCGGACGGGUGAGUAAUGCCUAGGAAUCUGCCUGGUAGUGGGGGAUAACGUCCGGAAACGGGCGCUAAUACCGCAUACGUCCUGAGGGAGAAAGUGGGGGAUCUUCGGACCUCACGCUAUCAGAUGAGCCUAGGUCGGAUUAGCUAGUUGGUGGGGUAAAGGCCUACCAAGGCGACGAUCCGUAACUGGUCUGAGAGGAUGAUCAGUCACACUGGAACUGAGACACGGUCCGGACUCCUACGGGAGGCAGCAGUGGGGAAUAUUGGACAAUGGGCGAAAGCCUGAUCCAGCCAUGCCGCGUGUGUGAAGAAGGUCUUCGGAUUGUAAAGCACUUUAAGUUGGGAGGAAGGGCAGUAAGUUAAUACCUUGCUGUUUUGACGUUACCAACAGAAUAAGCACCGGCUAACUUCGUG
rnacentral:rRNA from 1 species